AAUCUCUUUGAAACAAAUUGUAAAGUCCUAUCUGGAAAAAACGGUGGAGAGAAGUAUUGUUCUUACCUUGCGGAUAUUGCACGAGAGAGUGCAGAAGCAUGUUGGAAGAUAGGCCUAACAUUUCUUUGCUUUAUGUAAAAGAGUGUUUUCUGGCUCUUCGGGUGUUGUCAAUUAAAAAUUAAUCAUUAAAUUAAGAAAAUCACUUUUAUUAAUUUAAUGAAUUAAAUAAUUAUUUCUUAU
rnacentral:lncRNA from 1 species